GAUGAACGCUGGCGGCGUGCCUAAUACAUGCAAGUCGAGCGAACUUUUGAGGGCUUUCUUCCAUCGGUUUUCGCCGGGCGGGUGAGUAACACACGUGGAUCCUGCCUCUAAGACUCUGAUAACUUCUGGAAGCCGCGGCUCAUAUCCGAUAACAUUUAACACCACAUGUCCUUCAAUUAAAAGAUGUCUCUUAGCUAUCACUUAUAGAUGGACCGGCGCCGCAUUAGCUAGUUGGUAAGGUAACGGCUCACCAAGGCAACGAUGCGUAGCCGACCUGAGAGGGGGAUGGCCAAAACGGGAACUGAGAAACGGUCAAGACUCCUAGGGGAGGAAGAAGAAGGGAAUCUUCGGAAAGGGGGGAAAGCUGGACGGAGAAACGCGGGGGGAGGGAGGAAGGUCUUCGGUUGGUAAAACUCGGUUAUAAGGGAAGAAAAAACGUGUAAGAAAAGGGGCACGGCUUGACGGUACCUAAUCAGAAAGCCACGGCUAACUACGUG
rnacentral:rRNA from 1 species